CUCGGGAAGAUUUUAGCCCAUUUCGACUUUUGGGCUAGAUUUCUCGAAAACCGUGAAUCCCACGAGAAAACCGAGGCCACCAGCACGCUCCAUUCGUCGAGAGCUUCGCAACGACAUAAAUUUCGAAUUUUUCCGACACCGUUUUUCGGUAUCCUCGAUUCGCGGAAAUUCGACAGUUGACCGGGUCUGCAAAUUUCGGGCCAGACAGACCCGUUACCGGAAAAGUCUCCGAAUUGGACCGAGGUUUUGGCUAGCCCCCCAUUGUCAGACGUCCCGAGCGCGUUCCCGAAGUCGGAAUCGGCAAAGGUGAGCCGGGACAGCCUUCUUCCUCCGCCCAGCCGCCACAGUAAUUUGUCGUCCAGUUUGUGAGUAAAAUAUUAAUUUUAA